CUGAUGCAACACCGCUGAAGUCAAUAAGAAACUUUAAAGCCUCAUUUCUGAAUCUAUUUGAGAGCUGCUUCCUCCAUCCCAAACCACUUACUUACUCAUCUACUCCUUCUCCAUCCAUUCUUUAACUGAAGUUUAAUAGGAGGAACCCAUGUAAUUAGCUCCUUUCUUUUGAAUUACAUGUCUUUUUAAAAAGACAUUUAUUUUAUGCUCUGGAUGUAAAAUAAACUCUAUAGCAAGGCUAUGUCACAGUUUAUUCAGAAUAAAGGUAAUGACAGGCAUUGCUGCUGGGCUAACAAGGGAGAAGUGCCUGACCAGUGUUGGACCCUUCAGAAAUCUUACCAACUUGUAAGAACAGCAACUUCAAUAAGGGAAGACCAAAAGAAUGUAUUUUAUUUUAGGUCAGUGAAAUAA
rnacentral:lncRNA from 1 species